UCCUGGAUGAGGAUUUGCUUGGUGACGUUUUCGUUUCUUGGACGUGGGAGUGGCCGUGUUGUGUCCUCACUGUAGAAACGUGGACGUCUGUCCCGCUUAUCUCACAAAUUCUGCUCGGCCAGAGGCGAAGCGGAGCAGCACAUUGAUCCGGGCCUUUCAUCAGGCCUCCUCCUCACCUUAGACGGCUUUGUGGGGGCUCCUGAAGGACCGCGGCGCCCUCGUCGGGCUAACGUUCGCAGAUUAGGACGCCGAUAACCUGCCUGACCCUGAUAGGUAGGGAAGUAAAGCUGGAGCCAUCUAAUUAGCAACGAUCAAAGCGAUGACUUUAUCCCCAAAACAAACCUGCACAACGGAAUGUGGCGCGGUGAGGAUGUGGGGGGGG
rnacentral:lncRNA from 1 species